CUCCAUCGACAUAUGUUUUUUGUUGUUCUUUUUAGAAAAUUGCUCUAACGGAACAGCUUAUCCCGGCCUUUCUCGGGUUUAGUUGCUGUUGCUUGACCGCGACGAUUGACACCAGAGCUUGCUAUGGUCGUAUUGUCGUCGUGUAAUCGUGUUAUUGCUGUUAACGCGCUUUGUUUAUAUCUAUUAAGAUGCAACAGCAUUAUUUAUUUUCCGGAAUAUGGUUAGCGUUGUUCCUCCUAAUAAGACGGAAUACGUUUGAAAUUAGCACCUGUGUCAAUCGUCCAACGGUUGGCAAUAAAGUACAAUAAAUGAUAGGAGCAAAAACGCGAUGGCUGUUAGUGAUUUACGAAAUGAAACCAACAGCCAUUUUACAUUUUUUAUCUUAAACAAGUCCUAUCUUAACCCCUGAAAACUACCAAAGCUACAAUUUUUCAUUUCAUUUGUCAUUCAUCAUUCUAUUUAGAAAAGAAUAGAUGAAAGGUGUAAUAUAGUAUCAAUAGGACAUUACAAUUAAUAAAAAUGGAAAAGCAAUGUGUUUAUCAAUAAAUAAUAUGUAAUAUAUAUACAGCAACUAUAAAUAGGUAGAGCAAUUUAACUAAAUAAAUUUAUUUUUAUUUAUUCCUUCUAUGGCAGCUUGUUUUAAGAUUUCCCUGCAUGUUUACUCUUGCCGGUGCAUGUGUCAGUUUUCUUUUUAAAUAUUCUUUAUCAUAUUCUAUAUCUACGUCUAUUCCCACGUGGUUUGUGGCGAUAGACUGCACUGUAUUUGGGUAGCUACUAAAAGCUAUUUUUUUCUGACGAUCCUUCCCAGGUACACCGUGCAAGAAAAGUCCCAUCAAACAACACGUCUAAAGCCUCAUGCAUCCUGUUGUUGGCAUCCUAGCUGCUGAUAUCUGCAUCUAUCAUUUAAGUAUAACUGCCAAAUGCAAAAUCAUCUCCAGCUAUUUUUGCUUCAAAUGCAUCAAACUUUUGUUAAUUUUCGAUUUUUUCUAUUGCUAAACUCUGCGCAUUUCUUCUUAUACCCUUCAUAGGAUUCAGUAUUGUGGACUGCUCAUUUGAAAUCACCAUUAUCUGUGCGCUGCGUGCAUCUAUUUUCAUUAACAGCAUCCGACAACGAAGGCAGCAGCUUCCAGAAUGCUCUGUAGAAGUAAUUGAAAAGACUGCUUGAUUUGCUCCUGCUGCAGUCUGGUGUUCAUCGUCGGUGAUCAUCAUUAUUAGUGACGAAGGCAGCACAGGCAAAUUUAUCACAACAGGACCAGUUGCUCGUUCAGUCGUUAUGUACGUUAUGCGCUUGUCGAUGGCACUUAAUUACCACCAUCAACUAUCUUGCCUGGCGGACGGAUCUGGCUAGGAACACAGAUCCUCUAGGAGCCGCUAUCACCGAUGCAGAAGCACUGGUGGGUAAUUGUUGUCUUACAACAGCGGACAUCAUAUCACGCUGAUUCUUCGGAGCAUGAACUUCGACAAGCGAUGCAAUCGAUGGUACUGCAGAACCCGCCAAUGCCUGUUGUCUACCGAUCUUCAUGCCUGAUUCCUGCGGUAGAGCAUCAGCAACCGGUACCACUGAUGGCGCAGCAGUACUAGUUGACGGUUGCUGUCCAUGUUGCUGGCCUAACGGACGGAAUGGUGCAAGAACAUCAGCUGUUCAUCAACACGGACUGGCAUUCUUUGUUGACUCGCGCUUACCGGCCACUGAAACCACCGAAGGCACUGCACUUGUUGUCGGAAGUUGUCCAACAACACGGACCGGCAAUCUGGGGGGACGGAUAGCACGAGGAAUGGCAACCGGAACCACCGAUGGCACUGCACUUGUCGUCGGAAGUUGUCCAACAACACGGACUGGUACAUCUGACUGACGAAGCUACUUAUCACAUACCCGCGUUUUAUGUCCCCAUUCUUGGUGUUUCCGGGUUACUCGCCAUCGCGCUGUAGUCGGAUCAUACUGCACCUGUCCUGCUUCGAUUAAUGCCUCCCCAAAGACAAAAUUAGAGCACGCGUUCCUAUUCCUCAUCCUCCGGCGCUGUCUGGAGAAUGUGGGAGUCACUGCUCUAUAAAAACCACCGGACUACCACAAACUGGAAACAGCGGAAAACCCCGUGGGUCACCGGCCACCAUGCUAAAUUGAAGCAAAGUUGAACUAAUCUGCCGCGUCGUGUAUCAGAUUGCAACUGCUAAUAAUUUCGUCGUCUGAGGCGGACUGUUAUGGAGGUACCAAAUCUUCAGUGAUGAUGAAUGCGUUCACGUUUCUACGAGCCGGUAAUUGGCGGUAUUCAGAUUAUCGUCUUACUGUUAGCUUACCUAAGCUACCGAAAUUAGCGACAGUGUAAAAUCUGUGCUGUAAGAAUUACGAAUGGUCGUGGUAGACGCGUUAGGAUUGCAAGGCGAUAAUUGCGCUCUGAAAAUGCUAGCACAGAUGUUUGGGCCACAAAGGUGACGUUCCGAGAUUGUAAAAACAUGCCGGGCCCACAGUUUCAGAUAAGCCGUUCUCAUCAUAGCCGUACCAUGUACGGUCGGCUAGUUACACUUCAUCACGAAGGACAAUCACAUCUAGGUGACGGAAUGCUGCCAAAACGAUGAAGCUGGCUUAGUCCUCGAUGACGACGCAACUCCUGUACGUUCGUCGUCAUACUAUCAUUUUAACUGGAGGCAUGUUUGUUUAGGCGGCUACAACAAAUUGUUUGAACAUGUUCAAUGAAACAAACAUGUUGUUUUCGCUUCUCACAAUUAUUGAUGAAUGCUGGAAAUCUCCGUGAUAGCCGUUUUCUUGCGCUGAAUUAGGUUUGUAUGAAAAUUAGUGUAUUUUUAGAAUAUUUAAUUAUCAAUAAAAUAACGGUCAAUUUGAAAA